UAGAGGAAGAGCCUACGUCAU
rnacentral:siRNA from 1 species